ensembl:lncRNA
GCAGACAGUAACGUUAGUCGAGCUCCACAAAUAGUAUCGUUUGGAUACAAAGACUUUGAACUGGACCGUGUGAAUAACAAAAGAUUUGCCAGAUGCAAAAUAUGCAACAACGUCAAAUUUCAUUCGUUAUUUUAAGAACCACAAGGAAAGCUCUAGUUGACCGUGUGAGAGACCCCGGGAAUAAUACACAGCCAGGCUUGGCCCGAUGAAAGGAGGUCAUAGAUACAGAACAACAUCCACCAGGCUAGCGGGGAGCUCAGAGUAGCAGUCUAAAUAUACAGAGACUGGAGUGAAUAUUUUCAAGCAGGUCUCAUAAUGAUGCUGCUGUCCUGGUCCCUGAAACUGCCCUCCUUCCCUCCCUGUUGAUGGUGGAACUGGCAGAUUCCCACUGACUUCAGGACAGCACCACCACAGCUGGAGGAGGUGCAGCAGGGCAGGGCUUCUCUGUGUGUGUGUGUGUGUGUGGGUCUGUCUCUCUGGGUGUGUGUGUGUGGGUCUGUCUCUAUGGGUGUGUGUGUGUGUGGGUCUGUCUCUGUGGGUGUGUGUGUGUGGGUCUGUCUCUAUGGGUGUGUGUGUGUGUGGGUCUGUCUCUGUGGGUGUGUGUGUGUGGGUCUGUCUCUAUGGGUGUGGGUUUUGGUCUGUCUCUGUGGGUGUGUGUGUGUGGGUCUGUCUCUAUGGGUGUGUGUGUGUGGGUCUGUCUCUGUGGGUGUGUGUGUGUGGGUCUGUUUCUAUGGGUGUGUGGGUGUGUCUGUGGGUCUGUCUCUCUGGGUGUGUGUGUUGGUCUGUCUGUCUGUGUGGGUGUGUGUGUGUGUGGGUCUGUCUCUGUGCUUGUGUGUGUGUGGGUCUGUCUCUGUGCUUGUGUGUGUGUGGGUCUGUCUCUGUGUGUGUGUGUGUGUGUGUGUGUGUGUCUUUGUGUGUAUGUGUGUGUGUGUGUGUGUGUGUGUGUGUGAGGGUGUGUGUGUGCACAUGUGCGCUUCUAUGGGUCUCUGUGUGUGUGGAGGUGUGUAUAUUGUGCCUAAACACUUUUUGUGUGAGCUCAGUGUAUGCUGUAGUAUCUUAUUGGUGUGUUUUGUACUUUCCUGUGGACUUACUGUAUGCCAUUUGUGUAGUGUACUUUAUUGAAGAUGCAGUGUAGUUGUACAACAUUUGUGAGGC